UUGCUUUAGCAGCACAUACACUAAAAUUAGAACGAUACAGAGAAGAUUAGCAUGGCUCCUGCGCAAGGAUGACACGCAAAUUCAUGAAGAGUUCCAUAUUUUU